rnacentral:rRNA from 1 species
AGUGAACGCUGGCGGUAGGCCUAACACAUGCAAGUCGAACGGCAGCACAGUAAGAGCUUGCUCUUACGGGUGGCGAGUGGCGGACGGGUGAGGAAUACAUCGGAAUCUACUUUUUCGUGGGGGAUAACGUAGGGAAACUUACGCUAAUGCCGCAUACGACCUACGGGUGAAAGCAGGGGAUCUUCGGACCUUGCGCGAUUGAAUGAGCCGAUGUCGGAUUAGCUAGUUGGCGGGGUAAGGGCCCACCAAGGCGACGAUCCGUAGCUGGUCUGAGAGGAUGAUCAGCCACACUGGAACUGAGACACGGUCCAGACUCCUACGGGAGGCAGCAGUGGGGAAUAUUGGACAAUGGGCGCAAGCCUGAUCCAGCCAUACCGCGUGGGUGAAGAAGGCCUUCGGGUUGUAAAGCCCUUUUGUUGGGAAAGAAAAGCAGCAGGUUAAUACCCCGCUGUUCUGACGGUACCCAAAGAAUAAGCACCGGCUAACUUCGUG